rnacentral:lncRNA from 1 species
UUUUAGUUAGGUUGGUUAUCAGAUGUAAGAAGCUGAAAGAUGUAGAUUCAAUCUUAAUUUAUUUGGCAUUAUUGCUAUCGUAAUAAGCACGUUUAAACGUAUCUUUUGCUGAAAAUGGUGGGGGAAUACACCUAUGAUUACCUAAAUUUCCAUCACCUUAUGUAUUGGACGGUCACCCUUGGACAUUUGAUAAACACUUAUUUCUAUUCCAAGACUAUAAUGGUGAUCUUAGGCCAAUUGAUGAUACUUUAAUGCUUCCUUUUGGGUGAGGGUUUAUGGGAUGCCGCUGAAAUGGCUGACAAAAGAUAUGCACAUCGGAGCUUUUGAGAUAUCUAUGGGUGGCUAAACGAGGUUAGUUGCGCAUACAAGUGGAAAUUUAAGUCCCCAAACUGCUACUUUGGUGAAGGGGAUGAUCAAAUACAAGCAUCUCCCGAUCUUUUGUUAUUGUUGUGGAAUACUCGGACAUGCAGAAACGAAGGGCUAGUUCUUGUUGACAAGAUAAUACUACUUUUAAAAAAUGUCGUCGAAAAGUAUUGGAAAAAAGCGUGAUUUAUUAAUUUUUAGUGUUUGUUGUUGUAAAAAUGUGUGGUUUAAGGUUAAAAUAUAUUGUUUGGACAUGAUAAUGAAAAGUUAAAAAUUAAGUAAGUUGUCGAUUAAGUCUUAACUCGAUUGGCAUUAGCAUUCUUGUCAGUGCAGGAAAAUGUGAAUUCGAGUGCACUGAAACGCAUUAUCCUUCUAUUUAAAGGUUGGGGAGGGGUUAUGGGUAGUUCUAACCAUUGUAUCAAGA